GAUAGGGUCCCGAGGGGCUCGGGUGUAUUUUGGAUCAUUGGUUGAGAAAUUAGUUAAGUAGUUGAAGUUUGACCAUGGUCAAUAUCGGGUCAAGAUGACCUAUUUUCGGUGUUUCGACUACGCGAACAGAUUCGUAGCGUGCUUUAUGAUUGAAAUGCAUAUAUGGUUUGUGUCCGGAAGGUUCCGAACUAGCUUUGGGUGCUAAAACGAAGAUUCUUAUGUUGCUGAUUUUCACGUGUAAAAUAAUUACUAAAAU
rnacentral:lncRNA from 1 species